rnacentral:ncRNA from 1 species
UAUGAUAGAGGCGCGGCCAGCCAUCAGUAGCUUCUCCACACAACGCCAGACAGCGGGGGAAGGGAAAGGGACUGCCGCCGAAGCGACGCACCGUUGUCUGACGGGACGGACGCUGGGCCGACGGAGAAUAUCCGGCGGACUGUCACGGAAACGUGGAGAGCUGUC